UUGACCUCAAAUCAGGUAGGGUUACCCGCUGAACUUAAGCAUAUCAAAACGGGGGGAGAAGAAAAG
rnacentral:rRNA from 1 species